UUGAAUUUUGCAUUUACGUUGAUUUUGAGGUCUAAUUUUUGAAUUUUGCCUCAGGCCCUGACAAUCAUAGGGCCGACCUUGCUGGCAUGCAUGAUUUAUUUCUUCUACUUUGGGAUUUUAAAGUCCAUGUUGUUGUUUUGCAAGUUGCUUCUAGACCUGACAUUCAGCCAUCUUCAGUUCCCUUGGUUGGUUUUAUUGAGGUCCAUUUUAGCACUCAGACUUCUGACAGCCUCUCCAACGAAUAUAGGCUAGGUACAUCUGCCUUGUCUACAUACGUUGGAAAAGCAGAUAGAGAUUUUCCAAAGUCUCAAAGUUGGUUUUUUUUUUUUUUUUCAUUACAACGUAUACAAAAAAUGUGAAGGAUGAAUAGACACAUGCUUCUACCAAGUGGUGGUCCUGCAUAUUCCGAAGAUGACGAUAUCCGUGGCUCUAUCAAAGGAUUAAAGCAAGCAGAAGGUUUUCAAGCAGCUGGCAACGUGGCUGUUUGUUUUGUGGCGCAUUAGUUGGUCAAUUUAUUGAGUUUUAGACUCAUGAUAUCUUCACAUUUGCGGGACUUGCGUCUACUUCAGGAAGGCAAUGGAAGCAGUAUGAACCUUGCUGAUCUACAGAGACUAGGCAAGCCUUUGCUUCCACUUUUGUCAAGGUUAUGCUGCCUUCACAUUGUGCUGUUAUCAUGGUUAUCCAUUCGUAUUAUGUUGCAAUAUUAGCAAAUUUAGCUCAUGUUUGAGCCACAUUCUAGGGAAAAAAAUGCAUUAUUCAUGUCAAAUCAAUAAGAAAUGUGUGGUUAAAAAAUAAGAAAAAGUUUUAGA